rnacentral:rRNA from 1 species
GUGGGGAAUAUUGGACAAUGGGCGAAAGCCUGAUCCAGCCAUGCCGCGUGUGUGAAGAAGGUCUUCGGAUUGUAAAGCACUUUAAGUUGGGAGGAAGGGCAGUAAGUUAAUACCUUGCUGUUUUGACGUUACCGACAGAAUAAGCACCGGCUAACUUCGUGCCAGCAGCCGCGGUAAUACGAAGGGUGCAAGCGUUAAUCGGAAUUACUGGGCGUAAAGCGCGCGUAGGUGGUUUUGUAAGUUGGAGGUGAAAUCCCCGGGCUCAACCUGGGAACUGCCUCCAAAACUGCAUGACUAGAGUACGGUAGGGGGUAGUGGAAUUUCCUGUGUAGCGGUGAAAUGCGUAGAUAUAGGAAGGAACACCAGUGGCGAAGGCGACUACCUGGACUGAUACUGACACUGAGGUGCGAAAGCGUGGGGAGCAAACAGGAUUAGAAACCCUGGUAGUCC